rnacentral:rRNA from 1 species
UAGGGAAUCUUCGGCAAUGGGGGCAACCCUGACCGAGCAACGCCGCGUGAGUGAAGAAGGUUUUCGGAUCGUAAAGCUCUGUUGUAAGUCAAGAAUGAGUGUGAGAGUGGAAAGUUCACACUGUGACGGUAGCUUACCAGAAAGGGACGGCUAACUACGUGCCAGCAGCCGCGGUAAUACGUAGGUCCCGAGCGUUGUCCGGAUUUAUUGGGCGUAAAGCGAGCGCAGGCGGUUUGAUAAGUCUGAAGUUAAAGGCUGUGGCUCAACCAUAGUUCGCUUUGGAAACUGUCAAACUUGAGUGCAGAAGGGGAGAGUGGAAUUCCAUGUGUAGCGGUGAAAUGCGUAGAUAUAUGGAGGAACACCGGUGGCGAAAGCGGCUCUCUGGUCUGGAACUGACGCUGAGGCUCGAAAGCGUGGGGAGCGAACAGGAUUAGAUACCCUGGUAGUCCACGCCGUAAACGAUGAGUGCUAGGUGUUGGAUCCUUUCCGGGAUUCAGUGCCGCAGCUAACGCAUUAAGCACUCCGCCUGGGGAGUACNNNNGCAAGGUUG